UUGCGGUUAAAACGUUCGUAGUUGAAUUUUCGUCCCACACGGGUAAUGUACCCAAGUGCGGGUUUGCAUUACUUGUUGCAUGUGCAUUGGUAAAACAGUGUGCAUGUGACUUUAAGUGUGAUGGAUGUUUUACCGGUGAGGGAAACGACCUAAUAAUGUGUAGUUCGCUAUGCAGUUAGAUACGCCCCUUAUGUAAAAAACCCAUUUUAGUGCUCUUCAUCGAGUGCUAUUGUGGGCCGGUACAAUUACUUUGAACAAAUUAGAGUGCUUAAAGCAGGCUAAAUGUAAUGAAAAUUAUAACGCCUGAAUAUAUUUUGCAUGGAAUAAUGGAAUAGGACCUCUGUUCUAUUUGAUUGGUUUCUAGAUCAAGAGGUAAUGAUUAAUAGAAGCGGUUGGGGGCAUUAGUAUUACAAGGCGAGAGGUGAAAUUCGUAGACCCUUGUAAGACUGACUUAAGCGAAAGCAUU
rnacentral:rRNA from 1 species